CCUACGGGCGGCUGCAGUGAGGAAUAUUGGUCAAUGGCCGGAAGGCUGAACCAGCCAUGCCGCGUGAAGGUCAGUGCCCUAUGGGCGUUAAACUUCUUUUGUGCGGGAGCAAUAAUGGUCACGUGUGGCCAGACGAGAGUACCGUACGAACAAGCAUCGGCUAACUCCGUUCCAGCAGCCGCGGUAAUACGGGGGAUGCAAGCGUUAUCCGGAUUUAUUGGGUUUAAAGGGUGCGUAGGCUGUGAGGUAAGUCAGCGGUGAAAUGCCCCCGCUCAACGGGGUGAAGUGCCAUUGAUACUGCCUGGCUGGAAUGCGGAUGCCGUGGGAGGAAUGUGUGGUGUAGCGGUGAAAUGCAUAGAUAUCACACAGAACACCGAUUGCGAAGGCAUCUCACGAAGCCGCGAUUGACGCUGAUGCACGAAAGCGUGGGUAUCAAACAGGAUUAGAUACCCCUGUAGUC
rnacentral:rRNA from 1 species